rnacentral:tRNA from 1 species
ACCUAACUGGCUCAGUUGGUAGAGCAUGUGACUCUUGAUGUUGAGGUUGUCAGUUCAAGCCCGGCGCUAGGUG